rnacentral:rRNA from 1 species
UGAGGAAUAUUGGUCAAUGGGCGCAAGCCUGAACCAGCCAUCCCGCGUGAAGGAUGAAGGCUCUAGUAGUUGUAAACUUCUUUUAUAUGGGAAGAAAUCUGAGUACGUGUACCCAGUUGACGGUACCAUAUGAAUAAGCAUCGGCUAACUCCGUGCCAGCAGCCGCGGUAAUACGGAGGAUGCAAGCGUUAUCCGGAUUUAUUGGGUUUAAAGGGUCCGCAGGCGGGAUUAUAAGUCAGUGGUGAAAUCCUAUAGCUUAACUAUAGAACUGCCAUUGAUACUGUGAUUCUUGAAUGUAGUUGACGUGGGCGGAAUAUGACAUGUAGCGGUGAAAUGCUUAGAUAUGUCAUAGAACACCAAUUGCGAAGGCAGCUCACGAAACUAUUAUUGACGCUCAGGGACGAAAGUGUGGGUAGCAAACAGG